CAUUGAAACACCUGUUCCUGUACAAUCACUGAGGUUAAGCAAUGCUGAGUCUGGUCAGUACCUAGAUAGGUGACUGCUUGGGAAUACCACAUGUUGUAA